rnacentral:rRNA from 1 species
AGUGAACGCUGGCGGUAGGCCUAACACAUGCAAGUCGAACGGCAGCACAGAGGAGCUUGCUCCUUGGGUGGCGAGUGGCGGACGGGUGAGGAAUACAUCGGAAUCUACUCUGUCGUGGGGGAUAACGUAGGGAAACUUACGCUAAUACCGCAUACGACCUACGGGUGAAAGCAGGGGAUCUUCGGACCUUGCGCGAUUGAAUGAGCCGAUGUCGGAUUAGCUAGUUGGCGGGGUAAAGGCCCACCAAGGCGACGAUCCGUAGCUGGUCUGAGAGGAUGAUCGGCCACACUGGAACUGAGACACGGUCCAGGCUCCUACGGGGGGAAGCAGUGGGGAAUAUUGGACAAUGGGCGCAAGCCUGAUCCAGCCAUACCGCGUGGGUGAAGAAGGCCUUCGGGUUGUAAAGCCCUUUUGUUGGGAAAGAAGUCCAUCUGGUUAAUACCCGGGUGGGAUGACGGUACCCAAAGAAUAAGCACCGGCUAACUUCGUGCCAGCAGCCGCCGUAA